GCAGAGGACACGGCCAGGUAAGGAGCAACCUGCUGAGACAAAGCUGCAGCACCGCAGAGCCAGCUGGGGUAGGGCAAGGAGAUGGGAGGCACAGCCCUCAAAUGGGUUCUUCUCACGUUGGAUCAGUACGAAAGAGAGCAGCUCUUGAGAGGGGAAAUCUUUUCCUAUGGCCCGAUUGUGCUCAGAUGUGGAGCUGAUCCCAGGCUGCAGGCCAGCCUUGUGCUGGGCCUCCCCGGGGGCAGCGUGAAGCCCCCAGGUGUCAGCCUGCGCCCCCAGGGCAGAGGGGUGCACUUGGCGAUUCCUGGGCAGUGAAAACAGCUCUCGUGUCAGUACAGGGAGAUGGGUCACCUCUCUCCUCCUCAAAGACCAUCCCCAGCCCUGGGAAGCCCACUCCUCGUGCCACCAGGCUUCCUGCAGGCUCCACAGCACCAAGCAGGCUCGGCAGGAGGUACGUGCAAGGGAAGGAGAGAGGUGAGGGACAGGAGGCGGCGUGGGAAGAGCACGCCGAGGCUCAGCCAUCCACAGACCCGCUGCCCUUGUUCUUGCGACUCAGGGGGAAAGCAGACUUGCUCUGUGGCUGCGUCAUCUUACUGGCCAGGUAGAUGAAGGGCUCGAUCAAUGUACGCCGGUCAGCCACGGACACUUCCCACAGCUUCACCUUCUCGCCCUUGGCCCAGUGCUGGGCUGCGUCGUGGUCCACCCGGCGCUGCUCCUGAAGGUCACAUUUAUUGCCCAAAACCACAAUCGUGACCUCCUUCUUGUCUUUGCACUUAUCGAUCUCCUUCUUGAGGAGCUCCACCCGCCGGAAGGACUCCUUGCUGUCGGUGCUGUACACCAGCACGUAGCCGUCGGUGCAGGAGAAGCAGUGCUUGGGCAGCUCCAGGCCGUCCCGCAGCCCCCGCGUGUCGUAGAAGCGCACCUGCUCGCGCACGCCGCGGUCCGUCUCGAUGGAGCCCACGUAGAUGUCCUCCUGGGUCUCGAUCAUCUCGGAGCCGACCACGUGGUUGCCGUACAGCAGCUGCUCCAGGAUGGCGGUUUUGCCCACCGCGGCCUGCCCGCACACCACCACCUUGCAGCUCUUCCCCAUGCCGCCUCCGCGCCGCGCCGGGGCCGCUCGCGGGGGAUCCGCCCAAGGAACGGCGCCGGGGCGGCACCGCGCGGGGCUCCGUCAGCGGGCGGGGAUCGGGGCCGCCCCGGAGCGCCGCGGCACCGCGGACCCCAACUGCGCGGUGGCGACGGCGGAAGGGGCGCGGCCCCACAGCGCCCUCCGGCGGCGGAACGCGGC
rnacentral:lncRNA from 1 species